CCGGGACCCGCUCCAGGCAGGGCCGGGGGAGAGACCCAGCUCCAAAUCAGGCCCCUGAAGCUUGCUUGUAAAUAACUGUACAAGGCCUGGUGGGAAUGGAAUGUCCUGCCCAGCUCUAACAGCUUAAAAUAGAUGGGUCCAACUGUAACACUGGAUGUGAAACUACGCUCUCCUCCCAAGGAGUCCAGCUCUGGACCCACACUCCACAUCAGGAACAAUGGAACUGUUCGCUGCUAGCAUGAGUGCCUCUAUAUUCUUGAGACGGAAAUUUUUCAGCAGCAUCGACACAGCUAUGGAACUCACACAGGAUCUGAAAGCAAUUUCUCCUUCUCCUUUGCAUACAAACCUGUGGAAGAUCCAUCCUGCUACCAACAUGAUAAACUGAGGCUGUUUAAAAUUGGUACUGAGUAGAUGCAAAUCUAUAUUUUCAGAUUUUUGUAAUGACAGAAUUUCCUAUGUAAAAAUAACAUUUCCAAUAGUUUGCUUCCAAAGGCAAGACAGGGAUUCUAUUGGAGUUACACACAUGAUAGUUUAAGAGCCAAACUGUGCAUCGUCUUACCCAGACAAAACUCCCAUUGCCUUCAAUAAAAACUUUGCCUGAGUAAAGAAUGCAGGAUUUGGCUGUAAAUAAGACCCAAUCGUGCAAAGUGCUGGUUUGCACCUUUACUGUACUAAUUAAUGUCUAUUGACUUACUUGGGUUAUAUAACAAACAUCCUGCAACUAAAGUUGACCUUCUUCUAUACCUCCAACUAUAGAUUGCUGCCAGAUCCAUUAUUCCAGUCCAAUAGUGGAAGUCUAUCAACUCUCUUUUGGGUUUGGCAAAGUGUGAGAGAUUGUUGUCAUGGAAAAAAACUUACUAAUGUAAAAUACAGAAAAAAUAUCUGUUGGUCUUAUCAAAUAUGAUGGUUCUAAUAUAUAAGCAGCCAAACUACCUA